GAUGAACGCUAGCUACAGGCUUAACACAUGCAAGUCGAGGGGCAGCGGGAUUGAAGCUUGCUUCAAUUGCCGGCGACCGGCGCACGGGUGAGUAACGCGUAUCCAACCUUCCGUACACUCAGGGAUAGCCUUUCGAAAGAAAGAUUAAUACCUGAUGGUAUGAUGAGAUUGCAUGAUAGCAUCAUUAAAGAUUUAUCGGUGUACGAUGGGGAUGCGUUCCAUUAGGUAGUAGGCGGGGUAACGGCCCACCUAGCCGACGAUGGAUAGGGGUUCUGAGAGGAAGGUCCCCCCACAUUGGAACUGAGACACGGUCCAAACUCCUACGGGAGGCAGCAGUGAGGAAUAUUGGUCAAUGGACGAGAGUCUGAACCAGCCAAGUAGCGUGAAGGAUGAAGGUCCUACGGAUUGUAAACUUCUUUAUAAGGGAUAAACCCUCCACGUGUGGGAGCUUGUAUGUACCUUAUGAAUAAGCAUCGGCUAACUCCGU
rnacentral:rRNA from 1 species